rnacentral:lncRNA from 1 species
UCCCUUAUAACAAUGAACAUUGAAGAAUUAUGAUUUAACAUCAUACCUCAAAUUUUGCCUGGACUCCAGAGCUUUCCAAGCUGAAGAAGCUGUGAGUCACUGGGCUUGGAGGGGAGGGGUGUUUGUUUGUGGAGGGCUUGUUUCCCGACCUCGAUGAAUCACACGUAUAAUCACCCCAAAUGCAUCCUGUCUGGGGAAGUAACCAAAACCCCUAUUUCUGGCCCCAAUGGCUUUUUGGUUUUAUGAGUAAAUGCCACUGGCAUGCCAUUAAAUAAGUGCCCUCAGAAAGCCCUCAGCCAGUGCUAUAACCUACGAUAGUCAGGUUAUAGAGGAGCAGUCUCAUGAGGAGAGCACAAGAUGAACGUGUAACCUUCUUCAUCCUACCUGGCCCAUUGCUUUAGCUGCUCACUGGUGACCUGGCCUCCAAGAGCUUUCCAAACAUCUGUUACAUCUUUUUCCAAAUCACAGACAAAGAAAGAGGGUGAUUCCGACGGCUCCUUGCUUAAGCUAAUCUGGCUAAGUGGCAGAGUGCACUUCUGACUCCUGGUCCAUUACCCAGAGCAACUGCGGGAGCCUGGAGGGAAGAAGGCGGACGUCUGAGACGGUAGUUGGGAGCAGAGAGAACCUGAAAAGGCCAUCAGACCAGAAUUCUUUCCAGUUUAGGGAAUCCGGAGUCCGGAGUGGGUGUGGCUCUACGACACACAACCCGAAGGCUUGGAUGGACGUUCAGGCUGGAAGCAGUGACAUUUACCUUCUCAGUUCCUGUUGGCUCUUUCAACCCCCUCUCUCCUGGAAGAAGCAAGGGAGAUCCAGCUGGCAAGGCAUGAAUCUGCAAAAACACAUCCAAUCUCAUCAGACUGUGUCCACCAUUGUGAAACAUCCUGAAGUUUAACUUACUCUCUUUAUUUCACUAUUGUAGCAAAUGGAACUUUAAAAAUGAAAAUAACAACAUCAUGGAUUCUUCUACCAAGUCCUUUCCUCCAAGAUUAACUUUCUUCCCACUUCUAUCCAGUCCAAAAGACUGGAUGAAAAAUUGCAACAAGCAGGACGCCUGGGUGGCUCAGUCGUUGGCGUCUGCCUUCAGCUCAGGUCAUGAUCCCAGGGUCCUGGGAUCGAGUCCCGCG